rnacentral:lncRNA from 1 species
UUAGUUUAACAUGUGAAAUGUCCGUAAAGUAUCAUCACAUGAUUGGCUUUAGGGCACAUUUCCAACACAUGACAUAUGCAUACGAAUCGAUUUCCAGUUAUUCUUUCGAUAAACCAUGAAUGACAAUGCCCCAAAUUAAUCGUGAGAAACACAAAUUAACUUUCAGAUUUUCCUAAAUUCAUUGAAUUGGACUCAGCGACACAACCAAAUUAUUCUUAUCAAAAUCAUAAGCAUUGAUGAGGCAUUCGUAACUAUGAACUGCAUGAUACUCCUACCAAGAAUUCACUUAACACAAUCAUGACUAGUGACUUUUACUACUUGUGAAUAUAAGUUUAUAACGAUUAGGUGAAAUUCCCUUAUAUUCUAGUAUCAAAUUCAUGCAUGCAAACUAAGUAUGCAUCCUUAAUUAACACACAAGAAUAAGUUAUCAAUCAAAUAGAUAAUUGAAUUGCAUUCACGAUUUAUGAAAUCAUAAUUGGAUGUAAUGAAUUGAUAUCACGUAUAUGUUCAUAGCUUUGAAUUCACCUCUAACUAAAAUGAGUUUAGUUCCAAAUGUUUGCAAUUAAAGAAAGACAAUUAAAUUUAAACAUUGAAACAAAAGAUAGAAUACACCUAGAAACGCUCCAACAAUCCAAGGGUCUUGAAUGGCAAGCAUAGCUCCAGGGGUCUCCUCUCCUUUCUCCUUGCAAAGCUGCGGCACUAGAGGGAUGUAUGUAUAUGCGGGAUGUAUGGCAC